CACCAAGUAAUCAAAAAUUAAUUAAAAAAUGCUUAUAGUUUGAUCAACAUUGAAUUAUCCAUUAAUUAACUUGAGCAACUAAAGUAUUAUUAAUCCAUGUAAAGUUAUAGGACUUUCUCUAAGUACUAUGCACGGUUAAUUCUCUAAGUUAACGGACCGAUCCAAGAAAGUACUCGACCGCCCUCUCCCCCCCACCGCACCCCAUCCCACCCGGCUCAGAAGAAGACUUGAUAUAUUACCAUUAUACAACGUAGAGAUCUUUGUAUGGGCCUCACAAUACUAUCCAAAUUAUAGUGAAUAGCAAGACGCUUAUAUUACUUCACAAAAAUUCCUUAAAUAUUUAAUCCUUGCCCCCACACCUCUGGGAAUUAAAUUCUCCACCCCCCUCCCCUCAGCUAUUGUGGCGCACAUAACAUGAUUUCGAAUAACUUCGAGCUGCUGGCAUCUAAGUUUUCUUAAUUUCUAAUAUAAUCGUCUACCAAAUAUAUACUGAUACUUUUUGUAUCUCUCCCCCAUUUCUUUUAUAUCUCCCCCCCCUGGUCGACUUGGCAGAACUGUACCAUUCUACAUGUGAACAAUAACUCGAAUAGUAUCAUCUACAGUGACUACUACACAUGCACACAAAAUGAUUUCAAAAAAACUUCGAGAUGCUUUUAACUAAGUCUUAUCAAUUUUUAAGACAAUCGUCCACAAAAUAUAUUGAGACUUUUUAAAUCAAUCCCCUCCCCCCUUAUUUCAAUGUUGAAACCUACUGUACUUAUCCAAAACGAACAUAAGGUGACACUAGAACCGCAACUGUGUCACUGGCAGUUGAAAUUUAACAUAUGAUGUUGGAAUUAAACUAUAUUGUAGUGCCUAACAACAUUGAAAUCGGGGGAGGGGGUUUGUCUCAAAUAUUUUGUGGACGAUUGUCUGAAAAUUGGGGAAAAUCGAGCACAGG